AUACUACACGCUUCAGCAGGACAUUUACCCAAAUUACAAUAUAGAAAUUAUCAUGGCACUUGCACAAGGAUGAUAUGAAAAUUUGUGAAGUAUUCCAUAUUUUU